rfam:Haemonchus placei strain MHpl1 genome assembly, scaffold: HPLM_scaffold0003575
GGUGCAAACUCGAAGUAGAGUAGAUUAGAAGGAUCAUUUAACCCUACUAAACUACUCUACUCCGAGUUUGUGCCC